rnacentral:rRNA from 1 species
UACUUUAGCCAUCUUACCCUGCAACGCCCAACUGGUAACCCACUGAAGCUCAGUAGGUGUGAGCCUGGCUAGUACCUGGAUGGGAGACCUCCUGGGAAAAGCUCAGGUUGCUGCUGGAA